GCCGAACCAGCGCAGUGGAAGCGUGGUGGGCCCAUAACCCACAGGUCGCAGGAUCGAAACCUGCCUCUGAUA
rnacentral:ncRNA from 7 species